rnacentral:rRNA from 1 species
CAGUCGCCGCGGGAAUACGGAGGGUGCAAGCGUUAAUCGGAAUUACUGGGCGUAAAGCGCACGCAGGCGGUCUGACAAGUCAGAUGUGAAAUCCCCGGGCUCAACCUGGGAACUGCAUUUGUUACUGUAUAGCUAGAGUACGGCAGAGGGGGAUGGAAUUCCGCGUGUAGCAGUGAAAUGCGUAGAUAUGCGGAGGAACACCGAUGGCGAAGGCAAUCCCCUGGGCCUGUACUGACGCUCAUGCACGAAAGCGUGGGGAGCAAACAGGAUUAGAUACCCGCGUAGUCCCUGUCUCUUAUAA